UGUUCCACAGUGCAAGAUUAAUGAAAUCCAGAAGAUAGCCCAAAUUGGGUUGCACUCCUGCCUAGAAAACCAGACAAGCAGACACUGAGACAGAAGUUGGACAGCUAACUCAGAGCUGAGUCGGUAGAGGAAAUGACCAGAAGUGAUUGCAGUGGGAAUAGCAAGCCAAUGAACAAACAAAUGAAAGAAAACGAGAAUAACCAUCAUUCAUUGCUAAUGAUAAGGAACUCACCAAUCUACUGAGAAAAAGAUCUAGAUGCUAUGACAUUCAUAGGUCCUAGCACUAUUCUUUACAGAGUCUGGGCUUCAA